AGUCAGACUCACAAUUAUUCAGUAAGAUUAAUUAACAAAAGCUUGAGUCAACACCAUUAGAGGGUAGUUAACAUUGUGGACUUCCCCAGUAAAAAGCCCUUAAGCACCUGUGGUACAUCAAAAGUUAGUCUUAAGAUUAUAUGAGUAAACAAGCUAGCUAGGUAAACUACUCUGCCUUCCUUUAUGACUACUUUAAUUUGUUUAAAGGUAAAGAUCAAGUUGCCUUCAACCAUAUAUAUUGCCAAAGUUAUACAAACUUCUCGGCCUUUCAAGAAGAUUUGUGUCUAUUUAUGUAACUAUCUCUAUCUAAUAUUUUUCCCACCAGCCUGAUUGAACCCCAACGUGCGUUAUUUCAGGUAGCAAGUGUUGUACUUUGUUUGAUGUGCCUUCUUGGUUUUUGGUGAGGAAGAUAAAGUAAGAUAUUUUUAAGUGAGCUACUUUUUGAAAUAUGCAGAUGAGUGAAAAGUUUUGUGAAUGUUGCUUAUUUUUCAUGCUCAGUAACCAAGUCAAUAGCCACAUGAAGAUAACAGAUAAACUUUGAUCUAGAUAGCAUGUGUGAGGUUUUCUAUCAAAAUGUUGUGAUUUUCAAUAUGUGCCUAUUCUUAAAUCAAAUUGCCUUUGAAAUCAGAAAUUGAAUUUAAAAAAUAUUUUAAUUAGGAAUUUUGAUGCUUCUUUCGAUUUUAAAUUCAAAAUUAUCUAUUGAUAUUACUUUUAACAGAGUCUCUUUGAGAGUUCUACAAAGGUUCAAGUGUAUAUACCUGAGUCUAUUGAUCAAAGUGUAAUGAAGCAUGUAAAUAGAGAAGUAGAAGAGUUUCCUGAAAAGCCCUCUGACUUUAAGCCUGCUGUUGACAUGCAAAACUCUGUUCCAAAUGAAGCCUUCGAAUGGAGGAAUGAACAAACGUUGAGACCGGUGCAUGUGAGUUCUCUAGAGUCUAUAUUCAGGUAAGACUUUAUGGUUUUUUAAAACGUAUAUUUUAACUCAGAACAUAUAGAGGAAAGAAAUCACUAUCUGUUGAGUAUUCUACUCUGGGCUAGACAACAUAUUAUGUGCUUAAUAUUUAUCAUCUCACAUAGUCAUCACACAGCUUUGUAAACAUCUGUGCUACUAUCACCUACUUUGUAUUAGUCAGUCAAAUGUGGUUCAGAGAGGUUGAUUAAUUGGUCUAUGAUUUCAUAGCUAAAAAGUAACUGACCCUUGAGUUUGCCAUCAGCCUACCUUGCUCCCAAAUCCCUUCUCUUGCCCCUCAGCACAGAUUGAUGGAUACCUGUGCAUCAUUAGGAUCAAGGUCCAGGUUCAGAUGGGAUGGAUUCACAAAGUCACAUUUUGUCAUAUGUUAACUCUUUUUAGAGAUUUCCCUUAGAACAUUGGUUAAUCCAAGACUUUGUUCUAACAUGUUUAAGAGUUAAAGAGGUAUACCAGUACCUUGUUUUUAUCAUCAAAGUUUUUAGAGCAGAUCUGACUUAGCUGUGGUGACAAGACAUAGGUUUUUGUUUCAUAAGCAAGACCAGGUAAGUCCUAUAGAUGAAUUAUUUUACUCUUAUUGGAGAAUAUCUACGUAGAAAUAUGUUAAUCAUAUUUAGAGGCUAUUUCUCAUAGAUUUCUCAGUUUACUGACUUCCCAGCUUAGUUUUUCUUCAAAGCAGUACCCUGCCUAGUUGCAUGAACUCUUCUUUUUUUUUGCUAGAGCCUUUUUUUCUUCUUCCAUGACUUUUCUAUGAUCUUUUCCUAAUUACUUUCUUCUCUGCUUUCCUUGGUGUUCUUUUCUUCUAUUAUUUUAUUGCUUUCUACCAGCCCCAUUUUUCUAUAGGCAAAAUUAAAAGUACAUGGAAUUUUAGGAUUUUAAGGACUCUUGGAGACUAAUCAAAAUACUUUCAUAUUUAAACCUGUAUU